UACGUAGGGGGCUAGCGUUAUCCGGAAUUACUGGGCGUAAAGGGUGCGUAGGUGGUUUCUUAAGUCAGAGGUGAAAGGCUACGGCUCAACCGUAGUAAGCCUUUGAAACUGGGGAACUUGAGUGCAGGAGAGGAGAGUGGAAUUCCUAGUGUAGCGGUGAAAUGCGUAGAUAUUAGGAGGAACACCAGUUGCGAAGGCGAUUCUCUGGACUGUAACUGACGCUGAGGCUCGAAAGCGUGGGGAGCAAACAGG
rnacentral:rRNA from 1 species